UAGGUGAGAUGGGGGCUACAGUGCAGGACACAGAGGUCAGUGUGUAGGAGAGAUGGGGGCUACAGUGCAGGACACAGAGGUCAGUGUGUAGGAGAGAUGGGGGCUACAGUGCAGGACACAGAGGUCAGUGUGUAGGAGAGAUGGGGGCUACAGUGCAGGACACAGAGGUCAGUGUGUAGGAGAGAUGGGGGCUACAGUGCAGGACACAG